rnacentral:rRNA from 1 species
AUUGAACGCUGGCGGCAUGCUUUACACAUGCAAGUCGAACGGUAACAGGCCGCAAGGUGCUGACGAGUGGCGAACGGGUGCGUAAUACAUCGGAACGUGCCCAGUCGUGGGGGAUAACUACUCGAAAGAGUAGCUAAUACCGCAUACGAUCUAUGGAUGAAAGCGGGGGACCGUAAGGCCUCGCGCGAUUGGAGCGGCCGAUGUCAGAUUAGGUAGUUGGUGGGGUAAAGGCUCACCAAGCCAACGAUCUGUAGCUGGUCUGAGAGGACGACCAGCCACACUGGGACUGAGACACGGCCCAGACUCCUACGGGAGGCAGCAGUGGGGAAUUUUGGACAAUGGGCGCAAGCCUGAUCCAGCAAUGCCGCGUGCAGGAAGAAGGCCUUCGGGUUGUAAACUGCUUUUGUACGGAACGAAACGGCUCUGGUUAAUACCCGGGGCUAAUGACGGUACCGUAAGAAUAAGCACCGGCUAACUACGUG